GACGAACGCUGGCGGCGUGCUUAACACAUGCAAGUCGAACGGAAAGGCCCUGCUUUUGUGGGGUGCUCGAGUGGCGAACGGGUGAGUAACACGUGAGUAACCUGCCCUUGACUUUGGGAUAACUUCAGGAAACUGGGGCUAAUACCGGAUAGGAGCUCCUGCUGCAUGGUGGGGGUUGGAAAGUUUCGGCGGUUGGGGAUGGACUCGCGGCUUAUCAGCUUGUUGGUGGGGUGGUGGCUUACCAAGGCUUUGACGGGUAGCCGGCCUGAGAGGGUGACCGGCCACAUUGGGACUGAGAUACGGCACAGACUCCUACGGGAGGCAGCAGUGGGGAAUAUUGCACAAUGGGCGGAAGCCUGAUGCAGCAACGCCGCGUGCGGGAUGACGGCCUUCGGGUUGUAAACCGCUUUCGCCUGUGACGAAGCGUGAGUGACGGUAAUGGGUAAAGAAGCACCGGCUAACUACGUG
rnacentral:rRNA from 1 species